rnacentral:ncRNA from 1 species
GUUAGCCCCGCAAGGAGAUGGUCAUCCACAGGUAAGAUGCCCCAUAGGGGCACGCCAUCUCCUGCCACCUUUAGGUGGGUAUGCGGGGAAGGAGGA